rfam:Myotis davidii contig167602, whole genome shotgun sequence.
GGCAAUUCUUGGAUGACGCACCCCAGAAUUGGGCUCCCUCCUCUCUGGUUCUGGGUUCAUCACCCAAGAACCACA